rnacentral:rRNA from 1 species
AGUGAACGCUGGCGGUAGGCCUAACACAUGCAAGUCGAACGGCAGCACAGUAAGAGCUUGCUCUUACGGGUGGCGGGUGGCGGACGGGUGAGGAAUACAUCGGAAUCUACUUUUUCGUGGGGGAUAACGUAGGGAAACUUACGCUAAUACCGCAUACGACCUACGGGUGAAAGCAGGGGAUCUUCGGACCUUGCGCGAUUGAAUGAGCCGAUGUCGGAUUAGCUAGUUGGCGGGGUAAAGGCCCACCAAGGCGACGAUCCGUAGCUGGUCUGAGAGGAUGAUCAGCCACACUGGAACUGAGACACGGUCCAGACUCCUACGGGAGGCAGCAGUGGGGAAUAUUGGACAAUGGGCGCAAGCCUGAUCCAGCCAUACCGCGUGGGUGAAGAAGGCCUUCGGGUUGUAAAACCCUUUUGUUGGGAAAGAAAAGCAGCAGGUUAAUACCCCGCUGUUCUGACGGUACCCAAAGAAUAAGCACCGGCUAACUUCGUG